rnacentral:tRNA from 1 species
GGGCAGGUGGCGGAAUUGGCAUACGCGCUAGAUUUAGGAUCUAGUUCCUUAUGGAAUGUGGGUUCGACUCCCAUCCUGCCCA